UUCGGGAGGCUUGCACAGGUGCUGCAUGGCUGUCGUCAGCUCGUGUCGUGAGAUGUUCGGUUAAGUCCGCUAACGAGCGCAACCCUCGCUGUGUGUUAUAUGUGUCACACGGGACUGCCGGUCUUAAGCCGGAGGAAGGUGGGGAUGAUGUCAAGUCAGCAUGGCCUUUAUAUCCUGGGCUACACACACGCUACAAUGGUCUGUACAAUUGGUUGCCAAGCCGCGAGGCGGAGCCAAUCCGUAAAGCAGGCCUCAGUUCAGAUUGCAGUCUGCAACUCGACUGCAUGAAGCCGGAGUUGCUAGUAACCGCAGGUCAGCAAUACUGCGGUGAAUACGUUCCCGGGUCUU
rnacentral:rRNA from 1 species